GGAGGGCUACGGUAAUUGGCAACCGGGCGGUCUUGAAAACCGCUGAGCCGUCGAGAGGCGGCGUGGGGGUUCGAGUCCCUCGCCCUCCG
rnacentral:tRNA from 1 species